GAUCACAAUGAUGAAACAUUUCAUGUCUCUUCUCUGAUAAAGAAUGAAAGAUAUUUUUAUUAUUCUGAGUGAUC
ensembl:snoRNA